UGGGGAAUAUUGGACAAUGGGCGGAAGCCUGAUCCAGCCAUGCCGCGUGUGUGAAGAAGGCCUUUUGGUUGUAAAGCACUUUAAGCGAGGAGGAGGCUACUUGGAUUAAUACUCUAGGAUAGUGGACGUUACUCGCAGAAUAAGCACAGGCUAACUCUGUGCCAGCAGCCGCGGUAAUACAGAGGGUGCGAGCGUUAAUCGGAUUUACUGGGCGUAAAGCGUGCGUAGGCGGCUUCUUAAGUCGGAUGUGAAAUCCCUGAGCUUAACUUAGGAAUUGCAUUCGAUACUGGGAAGCUAGAGUAUGGGAGAGGAUGGUAGAAUUCCAGGUGUAGCGGUGAAAUGCGUAGAGAUCUGGAGGAAUACCGAUGGCGAAGGCAGCCAUCUGGCCUAAUACUGACGCUGAGGUACGAAAGCAUGGGGAGCAAACAGG
rnacentral:rRNA from 1 species